rnacentral:rRNA from 1 species
UACGUAGGGUGCAAGCGUUAAUCGGAAUUACUGGGCGUAAAGCGUGCGCAGGCGGUUAUGUAAGACAGGUGUGAAAUCCCCGGGCUUAACCUGGGAAUGGCAUUUGGGGACUGCAAGGCUCGAGUGCGGCAGAGGAGACUGGAAUUCCUGGUGUAGCAGUGAAAUGCGUAGAUAUCAGGAGGAACACCGAUGGCGAAGGCAGGUCUCUGGGCUGACACUGACGCUCAUGCACGAAAGCGUGGGGAGCAAACAGG